rnacentral:lncRNA from 10 species
CUCACUGGCACCCGGCCCAGGAGCCUGGGGAUGCAGGGGCCUCCCCUGGGGAGCUAGGUCAGGGGUCACCACCAGGUUUUUCCUUUCUGUGUGGCCUCUGCACUGGGCUCCCCCCACCCAUGCCAGGCCUCUGUGGCCACAGGGACACUUCUAAGAGCUCAUGGCAGCCCCCACCUCAGUGAGGCUGUGGGCAGAGUAAGGACCCACAGGAUUGGGGUGAGGUGGGGUCGUGAGGCUGUUGCGGUCCUCAAAGGAUGAGGGAGCACAGGCCUGACCUCCAAGUGACUGGAUCCCUGGGCAGGCUGUGUGGGCAUCCCGUCAGCUCACAGGCCUGUCAGGGUCCCGUGUCGCCAUGAGGGGUCAGGUAGCACCGGCCCUUGCUGGGAGGAAAAUGUGUUCCAGAAAUGGCCACGGGCAGCCUUGGCACUGCAGCCUGGGUGGGUGAGGAUUGCAGAGACAUAGCCGCCCCCGCCCCCCAGCCCCAGCUUCCUCCCAAGCCCCCUGCUGCCCCCCUGGGGUGUGAGUGGAGGCUGGGGCCCUUUGCGUAUGUGUGUGGCUUCAAAUCGCUCUCUUUGAGGAACCUUCUUCUUUGGAAGCAGGCACAGCAGGUGUCCCUUCACCAGGGCCAGGAGGCAGCCGGGCUGGGAAGCUGCUGGGAGAACUGAUCCUCGGGUCUCAGCUGCCCAGAGGUGCCUCAGCAGUGAGGCUGCAGGCCUGUGCGGGGUGGACACCGCUGCUGCAAGCCUGGGCUGUCCUCGCCUGUAUAGAGCUCUGCCCUGCGCCGGACACUGAGGGUGCCACAGCGGGGGAAGCCACGGCAGGGCAGAACUGGAGUUGGGGUGUCCAGCGGAG